GACGAACGCUGGCGGCGUGCUUAACACAUGCAAGUCGAACGGUGAACCAGAGCUUGCUCUGGGGAUCAGUGGCGAACGGGUGAGUAACACGUGGGCAACCUGCCCCAGACUCUGGGAUACCCCGGGGAAACCUGGGACAAUACCGCAUGAUGUCUCUCGGGCGUGAGCCUGGGAGAGCAAAGCCGGGGACCGCAAGGCCUGGCGCAUCCAGAGGGGGACCGCGGCCGAUUAGCUAGUUGGCGGGGUAAUGGCCCACCAAGGCGUCGAUCGGUAGCCGGCCUGAGAGGGUGAACGGCCACACCGGAACUGAGACACGGUCCGGACUCCUACGGGAGGCAGCAGUGGGGAAUUUUGCGCAAUGGGC
rnacentral:rRNA from 1 species